UACGUAGGGGGCAAGCGUUGUCCGGAUUUACUGGGCGUAAAGGGCGCGUAGGCGGCCAGCACAAGUCAGUUGUGAAAUCUCCGGGCUUAACUCGGAAAGGUCAACUGAUACUGUGCGGCUAGAGUGCAGAAGGGGCAACUGGAAUUCUCGGUGUAGCGGUGAAAUGCGUAGAUAUCGAGAGGAACACCUGCGGCGAAGGCGGGUUGCUGGGCUGACACUGACGCUGAUGCGCGAAAGCCAGGGGAGCGAACGGG
rnacentral:rRNA from 1 species